rnacentral:rRNA from 1 species
AAGACGGAGGAAGGUGGGGAUGACGUCAAAUCAUCAUGCCCCUUAUGUCCUGGGCUACACACGUGCUACAAUGGAUGGAACAACGGGCAGCCAACUCGCGAGAGUGCGCGAAUCCCUUAAAACCAUUCUCAGUUCGGAUUGCAGGCUGCAACUCGCCUGCAUGAAGCCGGAAUCGCUAGUAAUCGCGGAUCAGCAUGCCGCGGUGAAUACGUUCCCGGGUCUUGUACACACCGCCCGUCACACCACGAGAGUUUGCAACACCCGAAGUCGGUGAGGUAACCGCAAGGAGCCAGCCGCCGAAGGUGGGGCAGAUGAUUGGGGUGAAGUCGUAACAAGGUAUCCGUACCGGAAGGUGCGGAUGGAUCACCUCCUUUCUAUGGAGA